rnacentral:rRNA from 1 species
UACGUAGGGGGCAAGCGUUGUCCGGAAUUAUUGGGCGUAAAGAGCGUGUAGGCGGCCAGGUAGGUCCGCUGUGAAAACUCGAGGCUCAACCUCGAGAUGUCGGCGGAAACCAUCUGGCUAGAGUCCGGAAGAGGAGAGUGGAAUUCCUGGUGUAGCGGUGAAAUGCGCAGAUAUCAGGAAGAACACCCGUGGCGAAGGCGGCUCUCUGGGACGGUACUGACGCUGAGACGCGAAAGCGUGGGGAGCAAACAGG